GGCGUGCGACCUCUGACCUGUAUAGCAAGUCAUAGCCAAUCACAACUUAUCCAGAAACAAAACAGGGUGUUUGGAUCGACAGUUGAACAGUUUAAGUUGUGUUUCAGCUGCAAAAGUCUGCUUGUACUGAAGAGACUCACAGAGACCAAAAGUAAUGUUGCAUUCAGGUUGUCCGUUACAAUAAAGUCUUAAUCUAAUUAUUCCUGCAGCAGUUUCAUCACCGGUCCACUCAAUGAUUCAUUUACCAACUGGCAGAGCGACUGACUCAGCGGCCGUUUGAGGACAGUAGUUGCUAAAAAUGGCACAAUAAUAAUUUUCUGACUUUAAAACAAAGUCCCUGGACUGAAUAAUGUUUCAGAUCUCAAAUACAUUUAUCUGAGCUGUUGUAUCAC